rnacentral:rRNA from 1 species
UACGUAGGGUGCAAGCGUUGUCCGGAAUUAUUGGGCGUAAAGAGCUCGUAGGCGGUCUGUCGCGUCUGCUGUGAAAACUCAGGGCUUAACCCUGAGCUUGCAGUGGGUACGGGCAGACUAGAGUGUGGUAGGGGAGACUGGAAUUCCUGGUGUAGCGGUGAAAUGCGCAGAUAUCAGGAGGGAACACCGGCGGCGAAGGCGGGUCUCUGGGC